rnacentral:snRNA from 1 species
GUGCUCCUUUCAGCAGCACAUAGGCUGAAAUUGGAAUAAUACUGAGAAGAUUAGCCUGGCCCCUGCUUAAGAUUGACACGAAAGUUUGUGAAGCUUUCCAUAUUUUU